rnacentral:misc_RNA from 1 species
GAUGAAGAACGUAGCGAAAUGCGAUACGUAAUGUGAAUUGCAGAAUUCAGUGAAUCAUCGAAUCUUUGAACGCAUAUUGCGCUCUCUGGUAUUCCGGAGAGCAUGCUUGUUUGAGUAUCAGUAAACACCUCAACUCCCUUUUCUUUUUUGAAAUUGGAGCUGGACUUGAGUGAUCCCAACGCUUUCUUCCAAGAAAGUGGCGGGUUGCUUGAAAUGCAGGUGCAGCUGAACUUGUCUCUGAGCUAUAAGCAUAUCUAUUUAGUCUGCCUAAAAAACAGAUUAUUACCUUUGCUGCAGCUAACAUAAAGGAGACUAGUUCUUGUGCUGACUGAUGCAGGAUUCACAGAGACAGCUUCGGCUGACUUUGUAAACUCGAUCUCAAAUCAAGUAAGACUACCCGCUGAACUUAAGCAUAUCAAUAAGCGGAGGA